GGGACUGAAAGGAUUUCUACAUAUUGAUAUUUGAUUUAUUUUUUAUUUAACUAAUCAAAUUUAUUAAUUUUUUACAUAUUAAAAAUUAAUAAAAAAAUAGUAAUUUAAUUGCAAAACAUAAUAUUAUAUCUUUUUCUAAAAAUUUAUUAUUAGUAUAAAUUAGUGAAAUCUUAAAUUUUAUUUUCUUGCUUUAAUUUAUUUAUUUAUUUAAAGAAUGCUCUAAUUGUAAAUUUAAAUUUUUUAUUCAAUUAGAAAAGUUUAAAUUAUUUAAAUUUAAAGGUUUAUUAAUUAUGAUUUAGUUAAAUAUCUAUUGAUGAAAUAUUUUGUCAAUAUGGACGUGGGUUCAAAUCCCACCAGUUCCA
rnacentral:tmRNA from 1 species